rnacentral:ncRNA from 3 species
AAAAAAAAAAAAAAAAAAAAAAAAAAAAAAAAAAAAAAA